UUAUUUUUCUUAAUGGUUUACCAAUCUCUUUCAAUCCUAAAUAUUUGUUAUCAUAACUCAUAUCUAUAAUGUAAACAUCAAUUUGAAUUUCAAGUGCCAUAAGAUCCAUUGAAGAAAAAUCAAUUGGAGAAAACUCAGUAAGAUGAAUAUUUUCUACUCUUUUGUGCGAGGAGAGCUAGGGCCCUAUGGAUUUUAAAAUAAUAAUAUUUCGAGUAACUUUUAAAAAAUCCAGUAAGAGCUAAACUCUAACAUGGUACCGAUACUGCAUGUCAUGACAUCAUUUACUUGUUAUAUAACUGACAUGGUAACUUUGAUAUAUUCUAGAAUUUCACCUCCAUCAUAACUUGCAAACCACAAUUCUAUGCAACUGCCUCAAGAUAAUAAACAUCCUCAGGACCACUAAACACAUAAACUACUACCAACAUAACACUUCCCCUCAAAAUCGCAAACAAAUGGCACCAAGAUCCGGCCAAUCCUUGAGCUCCAAAAUCUAUUGUUGCACUUGCAUUAGUAUUUGAACUAAAUGUGUAAACCAAUUUAAAUGUGUAGAAAACCUGUUAGAACAAGAGAUGUUUUGGUGAAAAUCAUCACCUAUAAUUCAAGAAUAUUCAUAUUGUAUCACCAACAAUUAAUAACGAAUUACGAGGAAGGGUGCCUGAAUCCAUAACGUUGAAUUGCUCUCUAAAAUUAUGUGGCUGGCCUUCCAAAUCUAUAGGUUCUCUUAGAGAAUCCUUUAAUUUUCUCUGCGCUCUCUCCCUAGUGAUGAAUGUCAAAAAGAAUAGAAAGAUAAGUGUGACUAGGGAAUCAUAACUACUUAUAUAGACAACUUUUCAUAAUUGUCAUUAGGUAUUCUUAAUUAUGCUCAUUAUAGAAUUAAAAUACCACUAGGUCUCUACACAUUAAAGGUCAAUAUCAUGUUAGAUACAUUAAAGUCCAAAUUACUGAAAACCUUAGUGGAUCACUUUUAAUUGAGUUUAAGCUCCUAUGACGUAUGCAGUACAUAAUUAUUCACAUAUAAACCUAACAUUGUAUUAAGGAUCCAACAAUACUAGAUUAAAAAAUCCAACAAAACCGUCUCAAAAAGCACAUUGAUUUUGUUGAUCACAUUUAAUUUUUGACCAUUAGUUUUAAUUAUUUUCUCCUCGAUUCAAAUUGAAGCAACAAUUUUUGAUUUUAUAUUAAAUUUUCAUGCAAAGCUCUUGUCAGUUUCUUAUACAAAGAUCUAAUUAUUUAAAAAAAAAAGUUUCGUAUAAAUAAAAAGCCAUCAAUUACAAAACAAUAGAAAACUAGUCAGAUGAAGUAUAUUUGAGAUAAUGAUGCCCAAUAUCCGAUUAUCAAUGUUACAUCUUCAAUUCUAAUCAAAAUUAUUCUAUAUUCGGAUAUUCCACGACUUGGUCACCUCUCCCUAGCCCUUGCGGGCUACUACUCAAAUACUUACAAAUAAUUAUUAUCCUUAAUCUCUGCAAUACCGAUGUUACUCUGUCUUAUGACAAGCAUAAUCCCAUUUAAUUAAUCAUGUGUGCGUGUGUAUUAGUAAUUUUUUGGGUUGUGAUUUUAAAGUUCAGAAAAGUUUCAAAAUCAUGAGGUUUAAUAACAUUAUGAAAUUAAAUUUUAAAAUCGCGAGGUUUUAAAGUUAUCCUCGACUUUUCUAUACUUUAAAAUCUUGGAUUGGAAAAUUUAUACACACACAUAUUAUUGAUCUAGUUAGACUCUAUGACUUUGAUAAGUUGAGGAUGUCAAUAAAAUAUAAAAAAACAUAGAUUUCUAUAAAUUAGAGAUUAUAUUUUCUUUAGUGUAUUAAAAUCUAUGUUUUAAUAUUUUAUUAACAAAGUAAGGAUGCAUUUACUAAAAAAUAACUCUUUAAUCUAUAUGUAUAUGUAUAUGUGUUUGUGUGUCUGUGUGUGUGUGUGUGUAUAUAUCAGCCAACCUUAGCAAGAGUUAUUGACUAAUCGAUCCAGACUUAUUGUUAUUUUUAUUGCCUAAACGCAUGUGAUUAACUAUUUUUUUUUUAAUUUAUAAGACAUUUAUUUUAAAAUAAUUUUAAGCAUAAAUGCAUAUUUCUCUUUAACUCUUAUUUUAAAAGUAUGUGAUCUAUGGACGGUAUGUUCUUUAUUAAUAAAAGAUCACCAUUAUUAAAGAAAUGAACCUACAUCCAUUUGACAAUUGCAUGUGGAAUCUCAGUUUCCAGGAGAACUUGCUCUGAACUAUUUAAUUAUAGUGUAUAUAAUGUGGAAUCCCAAUUUCCCUUAUUUUUAAUUUUUAUUAUAUG
rnacentral:lncRNA from 1 species